GUCUAGCCCUUUGGCGUCAUUUUAGACGCGCUUGGUCGGGACUCUUGGCAUCACUUUUUGACGCUCUGGGUCGGGACGUACGUUUAACUGACACGCGGCACGAGAACGGGACAGUUAGGUUUAGG